UUGUGACCUGUGACCAAAACGAACUUUGGUCUAUGGUGUCCGCCUUAGAUCAAAUUAGUAGCGCCCUCUGUUUACAAUCGCUGGGCUCUGGAUAAAAUGUACAAUAAUUAAUAGGCUAAGGAGCCUAAUCUCAGAAGCUAUCAAGCAGCUAACCAUGGCGAACUAUGUUCUGGACAUAGAUAUUGAAAUUACUUCAGUCAAAGUUGUGUUACUUGAUAUUAGAUCAAAAACAGUAACGGAUAGCUUAUCUUUGCAAACCAAGACGGCUAUCAGCAGCGACGAAACGCAUGCCAAAAAGCAGAACACUUGACAAAUCAUAACAACUCUGAAUGAGUGCAUCACAUCUCUGCCUAGAGUCAAGCUCCAGAAUGUCUGUAGAAUUGGGGUGUCUGGACAAAUGCAUGCGGUUAUAUUCUGGAAAGCCCAAACAGGUAAAAAAUGUUUUGUGUCAUAAAUAGUGUGUCACCCACUAUUAGGCCUAUGUGAUAUAGAUUUCUGAUUUAGAAAACACCAGAUCUCUUUAUCCAAACAAGUCCUUUAUGAUCACUGUAUACCCUCAGGCUGUGAUUGGUCAGGUGUAGAUAGCUAUCAGCUCUUCAGACCUAGAGACACCAGUCAGCUGAUCACCCGGCAGGAUGGGUGCUGCAACAGUCAUUUCCUGUAUACUCGACCAAACCCAGACUCACAUCUCAUCAUAGCCACGGGCUUUGAUUGUGUCACUAUCUUCUGGUACAUGAGCCAUAUACCAGCGUAUAUAUCACUGACAAGCUGAAAUGGUCCACCCACACAGACAGUGUGGUGAAGAAGGUGCAACAGCGCUCUUCAACCUCAAGAGGCUGAAAAAAGUUGGCUUGUCACCUAAAACCCUCAUAAACCUUUACAGAUGCACAAUUGAGAGCAUCCUGCCGGGCUGUAUCACCGCCUGGUACGGCAACUGCACCUGACAACUGCAGGGCUCUCCAGAGGGUGGUGCGGUCUGCACAACGCAUCACCGGGGGUAAACUACCUGCCCUCCAGGACACCUACAGCACCCAAUGUCACAGGAAGGCCAAAAAGAUCAUCAAGGACAACAACCACCCGAGCCACUGCCUGUUCACCCCGCUAUCAUCCAGAAGGCGAGGUCAGUACAGGUGCAUCAGAGCUGGGACCGAGAGACUGAAAAACAGCUUCUAUCUCAAGGCCAUCAGACUGUUAAAUAGCCAUCACUAGCGCAGAGAGGCUGCUGCCUACAUACAGACUUGAAAUCAUUGGCCACUUUAAUAAAUGGAACACUGGUCACUUUAAUAAUGUCACUUUAAUAAUGUUUACAUAUCUUGCAUUACUCAUCUCAUAUGUAUAUACUGUAUUCUAUACUAUCUAUUGCAUCUUAGCCUAUGCCGCUCUGAAAUUGCUCAUCCAUAUAUUUAUAUAUUCUUAUUCCAUUCCUUAACUUAGAUUUGUGUGUAUCAGGUAUUUGUUGUGAAAUUGUUAGAUAUUACUCGUUAGGUAUUGCUGCACUGUCAGAACUAGAAGCACAAGCAUUUCGCUACACUCAAUAACAUCUGCUAAACACGUGUAUGUGACCAAUAAAACUUGAUUUGAAUUGA